AGAUGAUGCAGGUCUCUAGCAGCACCUCAUGAAGCAAACCAAACCUAGAGAAGUCUUUUACUGUUGCUCUUUGUAGUAUGGCAGUUAAUAAAAUUUAGAAACUUUAGAACAUUGCCAAGUUCGUAAUCUGAAUUAGAAUGGUCAACCUCAUUUUUCUCUAUUUUAAUUUUGUGUUAUCAUAUUCUUUUUCAACACCUCAUCUGUGCAGAUUAUGGUUUAACUGACCUAUUGUUUGCCAUCUUUGUAUUAGACCUUGAUCACUUCUAUAUUAACCUUAGUACUAAUUGGGAUUUCAUUAUUCCUUGAAACCAUGUGUAGUUCAUACGAGUCUUGUAUAUGCUUGCUUUAAAUUCUACUCCAUGCACGGGAAUCAAGAUAAUUAAUUUGAUGAUUUCAGGGAGCACCAAAAAUAAUUGUUUCUCCAAAUCUCUAGAAGUUGUAGGUGCAGGGAUUAAGUGGAUGUGUUUGAUGGGCACAGACAGUCUGAUUUGAUACAGGACCAUAUUCGAGCUGACUUUCAAUGUUUAGUGUGGUGGAUGCAAUUCCAUGAUAGGGAAGAGAGUAAGUUUAUUACUGAAAAGAAACAAGUUGGAAAUUACUACUGCUCUACCAAGCUUUGAAGAUCCUGGGCACAUGGAAUUUUUAGAUGCUAUAAAAUCUAGCAACUUCAGCAAAAUCAGGCUUGAAUUAGUUCAUCUCAACAUCAAACAAACAGUGCACUGCAUCUUUGCCACUGAAUCUAGACACAAUUUUUUGCCAGCACCAUCUUUGAAG